rnacentral:rRNA from 1 species
CCGCAUGGCACAGAGGGAAAAGGAGGCCUCUGAAAAUGCUUCCGCUUGAAGAUGAGCUUGCGUCUGAUUAGCUAGUUGGUGAGGUAACGGCCCACCAAGGCGACGAUCGGUAGCCGGACUGAGAGGUUGAACGGCCACAUUGGGACUGAGACACGGCCCAGACUCCUACGGGAGGCAGCAGUGGGGAAUAUUGCACAAUGGGGGAAACCCUGAUGCAGCGACGCCGCGUGGAGGAAGAAGGUCUUCGGAUUGUAAACUCCUGUUGUUGGGGAAGAUAAUGACGGUACCCAACAAGGAAGUGACGGCUAACUACGUG